CCUACGGGCGGCAGCAGUGGGGAAUAUUGCACAAUGGGGGAAACCCUGAUGCAGCGACGCCGCGUGAGUGAAGAAGUAUUUCGGUAUGUAAAGCUCUAUCAGCAGGGAAGAAAAUGACGGUACCUGAUUAAGAAGCCCCGGCUAACUACGUGCCAGCAGCCGCAGUAAUAAGUAGGGGGCAAGCGUUAUCCGGAUUUACUGGGUGUAAAGGGAGCGUAUACGGCAGCACAAGUCUGGAGGGAAAUGCCGGGGCUUAACCCCGGAACUGCUUUGGAAACUGUGCAGCUUGAGUGCAGGAGAGGUAAGUGGAAUUCCUAGUGUAGCGGUGAAAUGCAUAGAUAUUAGGAGGAACACCAGUGGCGAAGGCGGCUUACUGGACUGUAACUGACGUUGAGGCUCGAAAGCGUGGGGAGCAAACAGGAUUAGAUACCCGAGUAGUC
rnacentral:rRNA from 1 species